GAUGAACGCUGGCGGCGUGCCUAAUACAUGCAAGUCGAGCGAACAGACGAGGAGCUUGCUCCUCUGACGUUAGCGGCGGACGGGUGAGUAACACGUGGAUAACCUACCUAUAAGACUGGGAUAACUUCGGGAAACCGGAGCUAAUACCGGAUAAUAUAUUGAACCGCAUGGUUCAAUAGUGAAAGACGGUUUUGCUGUCACUUAUAGAUGGAUCCGCGCCGCAUUAGCUAGUUGGUAAGGUAACGGCUUACCAAGGCGACGAUGCGUAGCCGACCUGAGAGGGUGAUCGGCCACCAUGGAACUGAGACACGGUCCAGACUCCUACGGGAGGCAGCAGUAGGGAAUCUUCCGCAAUGGGCGAAAGCUUGACGGAGCAACGCCGCGUGAGUGAUGAAGGUCUUCGGAUCGUAAAACUCUGUUAUUAGGGAAGAACAAAUGUGUAAGUAACUAUGCACGUCUUGACGGUACCUAAUCAGAAAGCCACGGCUAACUACGUG
rnacentral:rRNA from 1 species